UGACCUCGGAUCAGACGUGAUUACCCGCUGAAUUUAAGCAUAUUAUUAAGCGGAGGAAAGAAACUAACAAGGAUUCCCCUAGUAACGGCGAGUGAACGGGGAAGAGCCCAACACCGAAUCCCUUGGCGCAAGUCAACGGGAAA
rnacentral:ncRNA from 1 species